CACAACAACAACAAAAAAAGAAACAAAACCAACAGCAGUGGGAAUUUGGGAAGAAUUAUUUGACAUAUUCUACCUCUGAAGUUUUUAUCGAUUUAAUUGUUCUUUCUUCUUUCCUUG
rnacentral:ribozyme from 1 species